UACGGAGGGUCCAAGCGUUAUCCGGAAUCAUUGGGUUUAAAGGGUCCGUAGGCGGUUUUGUAAGUCAGUGGUGAAAGCCCAUCGCUCAACGGUGGAACGGCCAUUGAUACUGCAAGACUUGAAUUAUUAGGAAGUAACUAGAAUAUGUAGUGUAGCGGUGAAAUGCUUAGAUAUUACAUGGAAUACCAAUUGCGAAGGCAGGUUACUGCUAAUUGAUUGACGCUGAUGGACGAAAGCGUGGGGAGCGAACAGG
rnacentral:rRNA from 1 species